rnacentral:rRNA from 1 species
UACGGGGGGAGCAAGCGUUGUUCGGAUUUACUGGGCGUAAAGGGCGCGUAGGCGGCCACCGCAAGUCGACUGUGAAAUCUCCGGGCUUAACCCGGAAAGGUCAGCCGAUACUGCGGGGCUAGAGUGCAGAAGGGGCAACUGGAAUUCUCGGUGUAGCGGUGAAAUGCGUAGAUAUCGAGAGGAACACCGGUGGCGAAGGCGGAUCUCUGGGCCAUUACUGACGCUGAGGAGCGAAAGCGUGGGGAGCGAACAGG